CAGUGAUCCAGAGAGGGGUGAAGAAGCAGGGGAAGCCCAUGGUUGCCUCUCACCAGCGACUCUGUUCUUACUACAGACAGCAAGUUUCCAGGGCUGCAUUUAUCCCUACAGGGUUCUGCCCUCAGCUCCUUUCUCUUGACAUCCCACUCACUCUCU
rnacentral:miRNA from 1 species